GUGGGGAAUUUUGGACAAUGGGCGCAAGCCUGAUCCAGCAAUGCCGCGUGCAGGAAGACGGCCCUCUGGGUUGUAAACUGCUUUUAUCUGGGAAGAAAAAGGCCAUGCGUGGCAAAUUGCCGGUACCAGAUGAAUAAGCACCGGCUAACUCCGUGCCAGCAGCCGCGGUAAUACGGAGGGUGCGAGCGUUGUCCGGAUUUAUUGGGUUUAAAGGGUGCGUAGGCGGCUGAUUAAGUCAGCGGUGAAAGACUUCGGCUUAACCGGAGCAGUGCCGUUGAUACUGGUUGGCUUGAGUGUCGGAGGGGUACAUGGAAUUGAUGGUGUAGCGGUGAAAUGCAUAGAUACCAUCAGGAACACCGAUAGCGAAGGCAUUGUACUGGCCGACAACUGACGCUGAUGCACGAAAGUGUGGGGAUCGAACAGGAUUAGAAACCCCUGUAGUCC
rnacentral:rRNA from 1 species